GAACCAGUACUGUGAAGGAAAGGUGAAAAGCACCUCGAACAGAGGAGUGAAAUAGUCCCUGAAACCGUCUGCCUACAAGCGGUCGGAGCAAUCUUUUGGUUGUGACGGCGUGCCUUUUGCAUAAUGAACCUACGAGUUACUUUCUCCGGCAAGGUUAAGGACUUCAGGUCCGGAGCCGAAGCGAAAGCGAGUCUUAAAAGGGCGGUAUAGUCGGAGUGAGUAGACGCGAAACCAAGUGAUCUACCCUUGGUCAGGAUGAAGGUUGGGUAACACCAACUGGAGGUCCGAAUGGGUAUACGUUGAAAAGUGUUCCAAUGAACUGAGGGUAGGGGUGAAAGGCUAAUCAAACUUGGAGAUAGCUCGUACUCCCCGAAAUGCAUUUAGGUGCAGCCUUUAUAUAGUAUAUAAUGAGGUAGAGCGACUGAUUGGAUGCGAGGGCUUCACCGCCUAUCAAGUCCAGAUAAACUCCGAAUGCGUUAUAUAUAUUUAUAAGGAGUGAGGGCGCGGGUGCUAAGGUCCGCGUCCGAGAGGAGAAGAAUCCAGACCAUCAGCUAAGGUCCCCAAAUAACAGUUAAGUUGAACUAACGAAGUCAGACUGCAGAGACAGCUAGGAUGUUGGCUUGGAAGCAGCCAUUCAUUUAAAGAGUGCGUAACAGCUCACUAGUCGAGGAGUCUGGCGUGGAUAAUACUCGGGCAUAAACUGUUUACCGAAGCUAUGGAUCUCGUAUGAGAUGGUAGGGGAGCAUUCUAUGUACGUCGAAGGUGAGGGAUGACCCUUGCUGGAGUGCAUAGAAAAGCAAAUGUAGGUAUAAGUAACGAUAAAGGAGGUGAGAAACCUCCUCGCCGAAAGACUAAGGUUUCCUGAUCAACGUUAAUCGGAUCAGGGUAAGUCGGGACCUAAGGAUAAGCCGAACGGCGAUUCCGAUGGAAGAAUGGUUUAAUAUUCCCAUACUACUUUAUGGAGCGAUGUGGAGACGGAGAAGUGACAGUCCUGCCAUCUGACGGAAUAGAUGGUUAAAGGGUGUAGAUGUAGAUCGAAGUAGGCAAAUCCGCUUUGAGAGUCGAACCUGACAGUAUGCCGCGUACUUGUACAAGGCAAUAUGGACGUAAUCAGGCUCCCUAGAAAAUCCGCUAAGCAAAUUCAUAAAGUACCCGUACCGUAAACGGACACACGUAGUUGGGUUGAAAAUACUGAGGCGCUCGAGUGAUUCACGGUUAAGGAACUAGGCAAAUUGACCCUGUAACUUCGGGAUAAAGGGUCCCUGCAGAGAUGUGGGGCGCAGAGAAUAGGUCCAGGCAACUGUUUAACAAAAACACAUGGCUGUGCGAAAUAGAAAUAUGAAGUAUACAGCCUGACACCUGCCCGGUGCUGGAAGGUUAAGAGGAGAACUCAUCGCAAGAGAAGGUUUGAAUUGAAGCCCCAGUAAACGGCGGCCGUAACUAUAACGGUCCUAAGGUAGCGAAAUUCCUUGUCGGGUAAGUUCCGACCUGCACGAAUGGUGUAAUGAUCUGGACACUGUCUCAAC
rnacentral:rRNA from 1 species